AUAAUCGAUUAUUUGGCAGAGAUAAUCGAUUGUAUUUACUGUUGGAUUGAAUUUUGAAACUGACAAAUCGAUUUAAGAGACAAACGGUAAAAAAAAUUGAAUGAGAUAAUCGAUUAUCAACACAAAACAAUCGAUUAUGGAGCAUUUAUGUCCUGACAGCAAUCGAUAUUGGAGCCAAACGGUAACAAUGUUUAAACAAGAAAUAAUCGAUUGUCAAUUUUGG
rnacentral:lncRNA from 1 species